CAGGGACUCCAGGAAAUACAGCAUCGCUGCUCCCUUGAGGGCCAGCCUCUUGGGGGAUGCCAGGAAGCUGCACCCUUGUCGGGGGGGGGCAAAAACUCACGCGUGUAUAGCACAAGAAUGCUCUAUCACUUGCGAUACUGGGGCUACGAUGACUGCAAAGAUGAGUCAGACACAGAAAUGGCUUCUUCCAAAAGUUUUCAAAUUGAGUAGACAACGGUAAUGUGAAUUCCACAAAGAGAUUCAAGAAGACAGAGAAAGAGUCUCCAGUUUGAGGAUUGGAAAAGCUGGGGCAUUUAAUACAGGCCUUAGACAAGUACUGACUUGUGGGCUGCUCUAGAGGCAGCUCUGGGGGAAAGAAAACAUGUCAAAUUUGUGUCGUGUUCCUUCCUCUGGCCCCAGAACCCUGGCUAAUUCUGCAGUAGGUGCUGAGUUCUAGUAGAUUCCUAAUUUGGGAGUGCUUUGCCCCACCCCAGCUGAGAGCUGCUUCUGAUGGAAACAGGUUAUACACAGAGGGUUGGGGACGUAAGAAAGGCUGCAAACCAUCGCAUGUCACCUUGAGCAUAAUACAGAGGGCAGAGAACUCUCGGAUGUUAACUUCUAAGAAAAAAAAAUCCUUCUUAAAUUUAGUGACUAUUCACCUCAGGUACCAGCAGAUGGAUGGAUACAAAAGGUGAUUUUACUUGUUGUUAUAUGGUUUAAAAAAUAUUCUUAAACACUUUUUAAACUGUACAAUGUCAUUAAUUAUCUGCUGUGGUUUCUAUACUAUCCUGCCAUGUCAAAGUGUAUUUGGACACCAAUAAGCUUGGAUAAAAAUACAUCGGUGGAAAAUUGGCUCAAAAUAGGUUAGUAACCCUAAUAAGCAGUUUAUGUAGUCUGGGUGAGGUACCCACUAGGUAAUAAGUCUAUUUUUCUGGAUGUGGAAAAAGUGAGUACCUAAGGCAUAGUCAUUCCAAGGUUUGUUGGUCAGUGAAAAAGUUCCAUUCCAAAACCUCAGGAAAUGGAGAGGAUGAGGAGCAAAGGUGGAAGAAACAAAAACGUAUCAAAAAAAAAAAUGAAAAAACAAACAAACAAACAAAAAACCUGUAAGUGAAUGUAACAAUCUGAAGUCAAAGAGGCAGUUUCAAGCAGUAAUGAAGCUUCAGUUUGUAGGAUUGCUUCAAUGCAAUCGCUUCAUCAGAUACCAAAAUAUUUAAGUAUAAGAUUUGAAGAGGAGAUAAGUCUUUAUUACAUCAAUGAACUUGGUGACAACAUCACCAUUAUAGUGCCAAAAACAGGCAGAGGUAAUUUUUAAAAACCUCGUGACCUCCAUCAACCUCAGUUGGAAGUGUGGUUCUGCUUAGUGUC
rnacentral:lncRNA from 10 species